rnacentral:sRNA from 1 species
AUGGCAUCUGUAGCUAAUAUCCAUUUACAGAAGGCUUGUGAACUAGCUGGAACAAUGCCAGCUGAGGCUCGCCCAGUGCUUCUACAGGUGGUUCCCGCCCAAGUUCUCUUGGACUCCCAAAGCCAGGUACUCUUUGAGGUAUUUGAUCCAAGAUUAUCAAGAGGGGUCUUGGGCAUUCUUCAUUUGUGGUAUCAACUUAAACUAAAGUGGUAUUCAUGGUGGGGGAAAUGUUGAGGCGUGGUUCUGGGCUUUUACCCGUUCCAACAAAAAAUUCUGUCAGGUGAGGGAAAUGAUUUUGCAGAUAUAGCAGCUCCAAUAAUUUUUUCUAGGGCAGUCACUUAAUUAUAGAAAAUCUAAUAAAAGAGAACUUCAUAUAUUGAAAGAAAAAAAAAAAAAGAGAAAAAAUCACACAAAUACGUAAAGAUUUACAAUUUCUUUCUACGAGUUUUCAUAUAUUAAAAUUGUUGCAUGAUAGUUUUAUCAUUAAUGCUACAGAAUACACAUCUUUCAAAUUUUAGUUAAAUAAAAUUAUUUUGGGCUUUUUUUUUUUUGGUUUGAAAGGACUUAAUAUAUUAUUAAGGAGACCAAAGUUUAAUUUUGUUGGGCUUAAAAAAAUUUAGGAUGGACACAAAUUUUUUAUUUUAUUUUAGGGUAGAUAACUCAUAAAUUUUUUUAAAUUUUAUAUAUAAUUAUUAUUACUUUUUCAAGCCAGAGUGGUCUUGUGACCACUUGUUGAAACGUAGAGCCGUCUUGCAUAUUACUGUUUUAAUUUCCUCACAAUAAUGGAAUUUUUUUCCCAUGAAACCCUCAACUUUGCUUUUUCGUAUUAUGAAGGCUAGGAAGUUUUUGCAGAGUGAUUUAUAUGAAGCCUUAUAAAAGGCAUGGUAUGCGCGCUAAUGGUUUAGACUGGCAUGCAGAUCAGUAGAGGCGUGGGGUCUAUAUACGUUCUUCCUAGAGAUUUUAAUAAACUAUGUCUAUUUUCAUGUCUGGUGCAAUAAUUUUUGGCUUUCACACUGUAUUAUCAAUUUAUCAUUGUCUCGUUGGUUGGAGUUUUGGGACUAAUAUUUGGUACAGACCGUACAGUAUUGUCAUUGUGACAUCUGCAAUUGAAUUCUUACAUGGGCUGUUGGGAUCCGUUUUAAGUGGAUGUUGGGCUUUGUGCUCCCUUUGAGAUAGAUGUUGGGCUUCUAGACUAUAGCCAUUUUCUAUAAUUCUUUCAAUAUUGGCUUCUGUAUUUGUCCAUACAAAAUAACAAUGAACAAAUCUUUAGCUAACAAUAAGGCAUCCUCAACUUGAGUUUUCACUCCCUAUGACAUGCUUGGAGUCUUAGCAUUAAGGGCAUAUAUGCAUAUCUUGAAAUCAUUCUCUACAAUGAUAUUUUGUUGCUGCAUAGAUCUAGUUUCUUGGAUUGAAAAAUAAAUGGUCCAAGCCUCUGCAACUUGAGGAUAACACUUAGGAAUUUGAGACGCUAGUCUUUAUCAGCAGUAUAAACCAUUUUACCACUCACAACCACGUCACAGUUAAUCUCAAGAAAACCCUCCAGAGGUUUUUUCCAAUGUAGCUCCUAAGGUAGUUUUGCAGAAUUGAUUUGUCUUGGAGCUUUAGUGGGAAUGCAUUAGGGGCCAUUUGGUAGAGGAGUUUGAGUAACGUCGUUUAAAAUGAUGUGGAUAAUGUGGUUUAAAAAGUGUUGUAAAAAAUAUGUAUUUAUAGUAUUCAUAAAAAGAAAAAUGUGUUUCAAAUAGUAUAUUUUGGUGUUAGAAAUAUUGUGUGUUAGGUGUGUGUGUGUGUGUGUUUUUUUUUUUUUUUUUUUAAAAGCUGACAACGGUACUGCACAGACGCAUGGGAGAGACGUUGCUGAGAUGCCACAGUGCAUUGAUGCGUGGGAGAGAAGAGACCAUUUGCAUAGACGCGUGGGAGAGAAGAGCGAGAGCUUACUGUCAGGUGGGCCCAGAGUAUUUCACUCUUUACGGUAAUUUGUCAAAUACAAACUCAAACAAUACUUGAACACUUAAACAACACUUGUUCUGAAUCACUUACCAAACACAUAGUUUAGCUUGGGGCCCACCUGUUUGGGUGUUUAAAUAGCAAACAACAUUGCUGAAGUGUGCGUACCAAACAGGGCCUUAACCUUCACUUCCUUAGUGUUAAAGACCACCCCAUUUCUUAGCUUCCAUAUAAAUUCAAUGAUCCACACAACCAUCAAAAGUAUAUUGCACUUUAUCAAUUUUUGCCUACAAAUUGCUAGAGGGUAGAUGUACGCUCCUCAGAAAAUCAAAACUACUGCCAGAAUCAAUGGAUUCAACGUGAAAACACCAAAGGAUGCAGUACCAAGAUGCUAUGGUAAUUACACAGUUUAGAAACAAAUUCAGACAAGAUUCUUCGUUCAAUUUACACAUGUAAGGGCAUUUAGCAUUAUCAUCACCUUAGAAUGGAAGAUAUUCUCUUAUCCUAAACAAGAAGUAAGUAGGAUAUCAUUAGCCAUAUGCCGUAAUAACAAUUUAAGCAUUUCAUGAGGGUGUAGUUUUCAAAUUGUACCCCAUCAAAUCCCUUCCAUUACUAUUAAAGUUGUGCUGCUACUACUUUAUGGCAUGUUUGGAUGUUUAAAAAAGGAGGGGGAGUAGAGUAGAGGGAGGGAGAGUAAUGCAAUUAUCUUGUUUUGAAGUUUUUUAAAGAAUGAGGGGGAGGGGUUUGGAGGAGUUUGGAGGGGUUUGGACUCCCUCUAGCUCCCCAAUUUUAAUUCCUCCAAAUUGGAGAGAUUUGGAGGGGGAGUAGAGUAUAUAAACUAUUGACCAAGUAAAUUACCUAAUUUACCCUUAUUAUAUUAACAAAAUUACACAAGGAGAAGGGCUAAUUAUUCCCUUCCCCCUUACUAAUUUUAAAAACAUCCAAAUAAGGUGGAGGUGAAUCAUUCUCUUCUACUCUCCUCCCCACUACUCCCCUUCUCUCUACUCCCCUCUACUCUUCUCCCUUUCUAAACUUCCAAACAAGCCAUUAGUAAAGCACCUUAAAUUAACUACAAAAGUGCUGUCCCCAACUCCUAGCCCUUAUUUGAAUUACUGGACAUCUUUAAUAGUUUUUAUAUUGUUAUGAAUUCUUCUAAUCAAGGUCUCUCUUGCCUUACGCGAGUUAGGUGACAGCCUAAAGCCCCCAAAUUGAGGCAACCCCCAAAUAUUAACCAAUUAGUUUAGUUCUUUGAUUCCCAGAUAAAUAUAUAAAUAAUAAUAAUAAUUCUGUAAAAUGUAUUAAUUUAACCCCCAAAUUUUAGUCAAUAAAUAAGGGAGAAGAAGUCAAAGAAUAAACAAUUAGAAAAGAAGGCCUCAAUGUAGGAAUAAUCAAAUUAUACCCCAAUAUUAACAUAGAUAAAACAAAGUUAUAAAAAAGAAAAAACAGAAAAGAUUUCUCUUUGUGAUCCAAAUCUUUCAGAAGCAAAUCUCUCUCUCUCUCUCUCUCACAACAAAACAGAACAAAAAAUCAUUAAAAAAAAUAAAAAAAAUAAAAAAUAAAAAACUCAAACCAUAUUUUUUUGUACAUAUCGACAGGAAAAAAUUACUUUGUAUUUGCUGUUGCUGAUUUUGGCUACGUGUUAGACUCCUCCGUUCCAGGUUUGCCUUGAAAUUUUUUUUCAAGAUCUGUGUUUUUCUACUUUGCUUUAAACUAGUUUGAUAAUUUGAUUGUUCAUUUGUUUGAAGUGCUGGUGUUGCUCUGCUGCGCUUCUACUCUAUGUCUUUACUUUUUGUCAUUUUUAAAAACUGAAGUCCUUAAGUCCAUUGAAAAAGUCUUGACUACAGAAUUUUUCAUAACUACUUGUCACAACUGUGACCAGCGUGAUUGACGAAGAAGAAAUAAUAGGUUUAUGUAUAAGUAAUGGUUAACUAUUCAUGCCAAGUCAGAAUUGUGACAAAAAUAUUGUAAAAUAAUUUGUGGUUAUAGUUAGUCUUUUAUAUGAUGGAAUGUGCAUAAAAAUAUGCUAUUCACACGGACCCCACAAUUUGUGGUGGGUGAUUUAUGUAUUUUAUUGUAAUAUACUAAUUGUUGACAAAAAAAUAAAAAUAAAAAAGGUCUUGUAAAAAAGAAAGUAUUAGAUAAAGUGUUGUUCCUUUUUUUUUUUUGAAAAGAAGUGUUGUUCCUUUUAAUUGUAUUGUAUUGUUUAAUCCAAAUGUCCAAUUAUGAUGUAAUGAAAAAGAAAGGUUAAGUAGAUUAGGCAUAUUAUUUAUUGAAAGAGAAAUGUUAUUGAAAGAGAAAUGUUAGAAGAAUUUGAAUAUAAAAAUUUAAUUAGUAAUUUUAAACCUAAAAAAGGGAGAAGAAUAAAUUCAAUGUAACAAAAAUAUUUAAGUAAUAUUUAAAUAUAUAAAAUGUCUUAUUUUAAUUUUCUUCUUAGGCCCCAAAAUCCAUAGAACCUCCCCUCCUUCUAAUCACAAAUCACAGAUUAGAUCCCCUUCAAUCAUAAAACUCUAGAUUUUUGCCUUCAUGUGAUCUCAUUUUUUUGCAUCCAUUCCUUUAGUUUUAGGGGUGGCAAAAUCAACCCAAACCCAUUUGCCCACCCAAACCCACCCACUUAAAAUAGACCCAAACCCACCCAAUUAUUAGUUGGGUUAAAUGGGUAUUAACCCAAUUAAACCCAAUUAACACUAAUGUUUAUUGGGUUUUAAUUGGGUACCCAAUUACCCAACCCAAAACUACUAAAAUUACCAAAAUACCCCCUCAACCUAAAAAAUGACCAAAAUAACACCUAAACCCAAAAAAUGACCAAAAUACUUCGAAACCCCAAAAGAAGACCAAAAUACUCCCGAAACUCAAAAAAAGACCAAAAUACCCCCGAAACCUAAAAAUGACCAAAAUACUCCUAAAACCCAAAAAAUGACCAAAAUACCCCCAAAACUUAAAAAUGACCAAAAUACCCCUGAAAUCCAAAAAAUGACCAAAAUACCCCUGAAACCCAAAAAAAAGACCAAAAUACCCCCGAAACCUAAAAAUGACCAAAAUACCCCUAAAACCAAAAAAAUGACCAAAAUACCCCUGAAAUCUAAAAAACGACCAAAAUACCCCCGAAACCCAAAAAUAACCAAAAUACCCCCAAAACCUAAAAAUGACCAAAAUACCCCUGAAACCCAAAAAAUGACCAAAAUACUCCUAAAACCCAAAAAAUGACCAAAAUACCCCAGAAACCUAAAAAUGACCAAAAUACCCCCGAAACCUAAAAAUGACCAAAAUACUCCUAAAACCCAAAAAAUUACCAAAAUACCGCCGAAACCUAAAAAUGACCAAAAUACCCCUGAAAUCCAAAAAAUGACCAAAAUACCCCAGAAACCUAAAAAUGACCAAAAUACCUCCGAAACCUAAAAAAAUGGCCAAAAUAACCCCGAGGCCUAAAAAAUAACCAAAAUAACCCUUAAAACCUAAAAAAUGACCAAAAUACCCUCGAAACCUUAAAAAUGAUUAAAAUAUCCUCGAAACCUAAAAAUUAGCCAAAAUAACCCCGAAGCCUAAAAAUUGAUCAAAAUAACCUAGAAACCUAAAAAUGACCAAAAUAACCCUGGAACCAAAAAAUGACCAAAAUAACCCCGAAGAUUUUUUUUUUUUUUUUUUUUUUUUUUUUUUUUUUUUUUUUUUUUUUUUUUUUCUGGGUUGGUGUGAAACCAAAUGAGAGUGAAGUUUAAUCCUGCUUGAUCAUGACAAUUAAUCAUCCUGAAAGUUUGAUAAGGACGAAAAAAUUUAAAAUGGUACAUAUGAAAACGAUGAUACAUCCACAUCAUAACCACCCCUUUUACUCUCUGCCGCACGCUAUGAACGAUUAAUGUCGUUUACUAAUUAAUUCUAAAUCAUGCCAAGAUUUUUCUUAAUGGCAUUCCUAUUUCAACUUACGCCAUGGAGGCACAUACACGGUUAAUUUAAUUAAGACCAUGUCGAUGUCGGUCCACUAAUUUUGACAUCUUUCCUAUCAAGAUAAUUUCGUUUGUACGGCUAGCGCUCCUUCCAAGCUAAUAAUUUUGAAACUGAGAUUCUCAAUAAUAAUAAUAUGCAACUAAAACUUAUGUAGACUGGCUUAGCAUUUCGUUAUACCAAUUAUCUUUAUUAAUAUUGGCCCACAUGUUGCAUCAAAAAAAAAAAAAAAAAAAUUUGGCCCACAUGAAGUUACUGAUUGUAUUUUAGUAGAUAGGAGGAAGGUGCAUAGUUUAGCAACGAUAAUUAGCUCUAUUAAGUUACGGAUUGUAUUUUAGUAGAUAGGAGGAAGGUGCACAAUUUAGCAACGAUAAUUAGCUCUAUUAAGACUUUAGUGGUAUAUAUGGAUACCAUUUGUCUAACUAGGUGUAAUCUAGAACGAUGCUUGUUUAAUAUAAUAGAUUUCGUAGUGCUCCAGUAAAAAAGCAGGAAAUCAAAUAUGUAUUUGGCUCCUUUUGAACUGGAAAAAUAUCUGAAUGACUUUUAUAUUAUUUUUGCUAGACUUGAAAAGCUGUCCUCCAAAUUGCAAUUUGGACUGAUACUAAUCAAUGCUUUCGCAUUAUGGCACUCUUAUUCUUUCACCAUGUAUACUUUAAUGUCGUUAACUAUUUUUUUUCUUUUUCUUUUUUAUUGUUAAUGUAGUUGUAAUCAUAAUCACGUCGCAUUACAUGCAAUAAACCAAUCCCGACCCGAGAGUUCUAAAAUAUCAUAUAAAGCUAAUCUAUAUCUCAUAAUUAAGUACAUUUUAAAAGUUAAAACCAUGGGCGCUUGAUGGGACCUGGGGUUUGUCCAAGGUUGCUAUAAUUCAACUUAAAUUUUUUUAAUAAGUAAAAAACAAAUAUAGAGCUAAAAUAAAUAAACGUCUUUAUCCAAUUCACAUUGUGACAUUUUUAUUUUUAUUUUUAUUUAUUUAUUUAUUUUAUGAUGCUCCGUACAUAUUUGUAAAUUCAACUCCACCUUCACAGUUGCAAACUGCUUUCCGAGAAAAACUAAGGGAAAGAAUAUUGACCCAGAUCACACAAAAGUUUCACCAAUUCAUAAUUUCAUAGUAAUUCACUAUAUGCCAAACCAUGAACAUAUGUUUCAUGGAGAUGAAUUUGGGACCUACGCUUUCCACGCGUGUCAAUCUCCUAGUUUGCAAUUGCAUGGCACCUCUCACCGCUUUAGUUCCCUCUUUUUUAUAGUUUCCGCUCCUCCCACCUUUGUUGCCUCACCUGCUUUCAUUUCCUCUCUCUCUCUCACUCUCACUCUCUGCCCAUAGAUAUUUUUCUAAACAAGUUCAUUUCCAUGACGGUGCGUCAUUCUGUGCGUCUCAUGAGCCCUCCUACUCUGUUGAUAUUGGUAUUACUGGGCUUUGAAGUUAUAGGAGGUGGCAGAGCUUCAAGGCUGAACCAAUGGGAGUCAGGGAUUCGAAUGCCCACAGAGAAGGAUGAUGCAGAAGAUGUUGAUGGAGAAGUUGGCACUAGAUGGGCUGUUCUUGUUGCUGGUUCAUCCGGUUAUGGAAAUUACAGGCACCAGGUUUUUUUUCAUUUUCUCUUAUAUGGUUGUACAAGAUAUAACACGGUCAAUUUUAGUAUAACAGAUGAAAAUUAUUUUGGGUUACCAUGAGCUAUUUGUUUGUAAUGUAGUUUUGAUAUGGUUUAUCAAUUUUUAUAUAUAGUUAUUGAGGUGUUAUAUACUUUUGAGUUCAUGUACAGGCGGAUAUAUGUCAUGCGUAUCAGUUGCUGAAGAAAGAUGGGCUGAAGGAGGAAAACAUAGUGGUUUUUAUGUAUGAUGAUAUAGCCAAUAACGAGUGGAAUCCAAGGCCUGGGAUUAUCAUCAAUCAUCCACAAGGUUCUGAUGUUUAUGCAGGAGUGCCUAAGGUACCUUUUAAUUUCGUUUUUCUGUUGGUAACACAGAUAUAGAAUAUUCUUUGCCAUAUAGGAUCAUGGUAUUAAUGUAAAAAAAAAAAAAAAAUACAAGUGGUAGGUCACUCAAUUAAUAUAAGUGGUAGGUCACUCAAUUAAUAUAAGCGGUAGGACACCUCUUGCUAAUCAUGUCUCCCCUGAUAUGAGUUUCAAUGAUCAACUUCAUCAAUGAAGUCUUGCACAUAAAGUUAGUACCAUUUCCUAAUGCUUGACUACCUUUAAAGUGACAAUGAAAGGAUUUCCUACCUGAUUGUGUGUAAUAUCUUAAGCUGACUUGAAUUGAGGAAUUGAUAUAGCGAGAAGCCAUGUGCUAUUUUAAUUCCUAAAUUAUUUUAUAUUACAUCUUCUCAAGCUGGGAUUUCAACUUACAUUUGUAUGAAUUUUGCAAGUGUUACUAUGGUGUGUGUGUGUGUGUCUAUAUAUAUAUAUAUGUAUUUUUUUUUUUUUGGGUAAAGAAAAUGAAAUAUUGAAGGAGAGAGAUUGGCGUCUCCUACACUUUGGGCCAAACACAAAGGCCUGCCCACCCUAGUUAGAUAAAGAGUCUUACCUUGAAUGAAGUUUGGAACCCACUUCAGCAGACAGUGCGAGUUAAAUUGUGGUUGAGUUUGCAUCUAAACUCUGAACUCAAUUGUAGGUCACGGAAAUAGUAUUAGAGAUAUACUAUGCACAUCUGUGUUUUUGCACUCCCUUGGGUGUUUGUGGGAAAUAGUAUUAGAGAUAUAUAUAUAUAUAUAUAUAUAUAUAUUCUAUGCAUAUCUGUGUUUUUGCACUCCCUUGAGUGUUUGUUUGCGCACGUGGAAAGCCUCAAAGUCACCCUUCCUUCUCUAAUCAUAUUAGCACCAUACUUAUGUGCAACCAGCCUUGUUUAUCUACUAGGUAGUAUUAAAAGGGAACUCUCUAUGUCAAAUCAAACAUGCUCAAUCUUAAAAAUUCUCGUUAGAGAUAAUUAGGCCAAUAGUAUGGGCUUAAGUCCAAUCCUACUUUGUAUGCAAGGCAAGUCUCCUAUUUGUAUUAUAAGUCUAUUAACCAUAACCAUAGUUAGUAUAUGGUUAGUCUAAGGUUUAAACUACUAUAUAUACUAAUGUAUACUAAUGUUGGGUUCAUUGUAAUACAAAAUUUGUAUUUCACUCUUAUAAUAAAGAUGUAGCACUUAAGAGAUUUUUUGUAUCUAUUUUAGCAUAAUUAACAUGGUAUCAGAGCCAAAUUUCCUUCUUGACUUCUGGCAAAAUUCACCUCUGUUCACCCCCCAAACCCAACAUGGAUAUAUAUAGUAGACUAAACCCUAGACUAACCAUAUACUCACUAUGGUUAAUAGACUUGUAGUACAAGUAGGAGACUUGUCUCCUGCACAAAGUAGGAUUGGGGUAAUACAUCUCUAACAAUCCUAAAACAACCUUAUUUUUAAGGUGAUGUAGUGCUGUUGCUAUGAACUUGUAUAAUUGGACUGAUGACACUUUGUGGGUUGAUCUUGAUAGGAUUACACUGGUGAGCAAGUCACUGCAGAAAAUCUUUAUGCAGUACUUCUAGGCAACAAGAACGGGGUGAAAGGUGGAAGUGGGAAGGUUGUGGAUAGCAAACCCAAUGACAGGAUCUUCGUAUACUACUCUGAUCAUGGAGGCCCUGGCGUUCUAGGUGAGUUUAAAAUAACCUUUUUUUUCCCCCUCCGCAAGAGGUUUAACAUAACUUUAGCAUGAAAACUUAUUACUUAUUUUGGAUGCUAAAGUUUUAAUUUGUAUUCCAAAAAGGAAAAAGAGAUGUGUAUUUUUUUAUUUUGGGGGAAGGAAAUAGAUCAUACUAAUUCUCAAUUUGUUGAAGGGAUGCCGAAUCUGCCUUACGUUUAUGCCAUGGACUUUCUUGAGGUUUUGAAGAAGAAACACGCAUCUGGAACAUACAAAAAGAUGGUAAGGAGAAUUCUACCUUCUUGAGAACUGUGCUAUGAUAUUUCAAUGAGACUAACAAGGUUAAUUGCAUGUGGUGUGCUCAGGUUAUAUAUGUUGAAGCAUGUGAGAGUGGAAGUAUUUUUGAAGGUAUAAUGCCCCAAGAUCUAAACGUAUAUGUAACAACAGCGUCAAAUGCACAAGAGAGUAGCUUUGGAAUUUAUUGUCCAGGGAUGGAACCUUCUCUGCCUCCAGAGUACAUAACUUGCUUGGGGGACUUGUACAGUGUUGCUUGGAUGGAAGAUAGGUAAGCAGUAUUGCAUUUUGAAUGCCAAAAGCUGGUGGGGAAUUUUGAAAUUGAAUGGUAUUGGUUGAAACUUCUGUAGAUUUGAGAUGAAUUUUUUACUUAAAUCUUAUGACACAUUACUUAAUUGGUUAACCUUAAUAAAAUUUUAACAAUUUGUUGUUGUGUCUCAUCAAUAGUGGAUUUUGAGUUCUUUCCUUGAUUUUGCACAUAGUAUGCAUAUAUGAAGCUUCAAACAUUUAUCUUCUUAAUAUCUAUACACGGAACUGAAUUGUACAUAUUUACUUAUGCAGUGAGACUCAUAAUCUCAAGAAAGAAACAGUAGAACAGCAAUACCAGACGGUAAGAUUCGUUAUAUUUGAGCUUCCCAACAUUUUCUGGGUCUUGUACUUAGAUAAGCAUUUUUUUUCCUGAUCAUUUUGAUUUUGAUACUUAUUUUGUGUAGGUGAUCAUUUUGACAUUGAUACUUAAAUGUUAUUUUGUAUAGGUAAAGAACCGGACUUCCAAUUUCUUAAAUUACAAUAUAGGUUCCCAUGUGAUGGAAUAUGGAAAUAAAAACAUCAAAGCUGAGAAGGUUUAUUUGUACCAAGGUUUUGAUCCUGCCACCGUGAACCUCCCUCCGAAUAAUCGCCUCCUUGAUACACACAUGGAAGUUAUUAACCAGAGAGAUGCAGAACUUUUCUUCCUGUGGCAGAUGGUGAGCUUAAAGCCUUUUUUCCCUCUUUAAUGAAUAAAACAGUGGUUAAAAAUUACUUGUUCUAAGUUAGCCUAGAUACCAGAUAGGAUUCUUCAUUUUAUUUCCCAUAUUUGAUAUACUUAUGCGUCUCCAUAUUUAGAUACAUAUUUAGAGAUUUAGGGAGAAAAGAAUAAUUCCUUAGCUGCAGAACAUUAAGUUCCCCAAUAAAAUUUUAAACAGAUGAUUGCAUUAUUCAAUAAACCACAAACAAUGUUACAUUUUUUGACAACAAUUAAAAACAAUACAUCUGUGUGUUAAUUUUUCACUGGAAACCCAGUCCAAUGGAACACAAAUACAAACACUACUACGAAUCCUCUGUCCCAUAGUUCCACUUCAUAACUCUAGUAAUCACAAUUUUUCACAUUUUUCUUAAAAAGCUUCUUUAAAAUUAAAUAACUAAAGUUUAAAAUGAAAAAAAAAAAAAAAAAAAAUCAAACACAUAACAUACGAAGCAUAAAUGGAACACAAAAAAUGGGAUGUUGGAUUUUCAUAUAAUGAAACACAAAAUUGUUAUAUUUUCCCUAGACAAUUGAAUUCAAUAUAGCUAUAAUUGAAUUCAAUAUAGCUAUUUGGCUAGAUCACAACCUUGAAUGAUCCCACCUUCACCCGGGUCAAUAACUUUAUCUAGAAAAGCCUGUAUACACAAUAUUUAUUCACAAUUUCUAAUGUGUAUAAUGUCGAUUUGUUUUUGUCUUACAGUACAAAAAAUUAGAGAAUGGAUCACAAAAGGAUGAAAUCCUAAAGCAGAUAACAGAGACCAUGAGGCAUAGAACCCACUUAGAUGGCAGCAUAGAAUUAAUUGGAACAUUUCUAUACGGACCACAUAAAGGUUCUUCCAUCUUUAAUUCUGUGAGAGAACCUGGAAUGCCUCUUGUUGAUGACUGGGGAUGCUUGAAAUCAAUGGUAACUAUAGUUUCCACUUUGAAUUUGCAACUUCAAUUCCAUUUUUCUUUGCUCUCAUUGCACAUAAUUCAAUUCCAUAACCAUCACAGGUUCGGUUGUUCGAAAGCUAUUGUGGUUCUUUAACACAAUAUGGUAUGAAACAUAUGCGAGCCUUCGCCAACAUUUGCAAUAGUGGUGUUUCAAAGGUCUCAGUAGAGGAAGCCUUUGUGGCUGCUUGUAGUGGCCAUGACCCGGGCCUAUUGCAUCCUUCCAAUCAAGGUUAUAGUGCUUGAAUCCAGAUAAUAUAUGCUUGUGUCUGUAUAUAUUAUAUAUAAUAAAAAAUGCUAGUGUCUGUGUAUCAUAUGAUAAAAAUUAAAUAGUGCAUUUUCAGAACGGUAAAUAAUGCUUGUUUUUAUAUAUUUCCUCCCUAAGUUCUUCUCUGUUUCUUUGGGGUGGUUUUCACUCUUUGGGGCAAAAAUUUGGGCCCAAAUCAGCAAUCUGGUCACUAGGCCAGUAGGCUUGGAGUACCCACCCUCUCCUCCCCACCCCCCCCACCCCNCCCCCCCCCCCAAAAAAAAAAAAAAAACCACUCAUAAAACCUAGUGGGAAUGGGUCUUUUAUGGUGUUUUAUAUUGUGAAUUGAACCUUAUCUCUUCUUUUUGUUUAUUUAUUUAUUUAAAAAGUAAAGGACAAUGUUACGGUCAUAGUAGGGACAUCACAAUAUAAGGUUGUAAUUUAUUUGGAGUUUUAAUUUGAGUACAUAUGUAAAAAGUUAUAAUUGGAGUUACUUCCUAUAGACUUAUCAUUUAUGUUAUACACCAAUUACUAAUUAGAGCACAAUUGAAAAAACGAAUACUACAUUUCUGAAAAAAGUUAAAUAAUUGUGCCGGCUUGGGCUUCUAAUCACCACUUUGGGAGGAAAUCUCUAAAUCAUUUUAAGCUUGUUUGGCAUAUUCUCUCUUUGGAAUGUCGGAACAAAGCGAAUCAUCAAAAGGGCCCGAAUGUGAAAUUGUGAUUGAUAUCUUGAUCUUCCUCAGGUUUAAGAGAUGGUCCAGUAAUCGAAUAUCUGCUCUCGUUCAACUUGGGAGAAUCCUCAUUUUUCAUUCGUAUUCAUGUAUAUAUACAUUGACCACAAAAAAAAAAAAAAAAAAAAAAAAAAAAAAAAAAAAAGAAAAUUGAUUACAUAAAUUUACCUCUCUCUCUCUCUCUGCACAACAGCGUCAGAGUCGGGUUUAUAUAUAUAUAUAUAUAUAUAUGAAUUUGAACUCUCCAGAGGUGUUAAAUUAAAGUUUGUAUUUUAGAAAAAUUUAGAUUGCUCAUAUAGGAAAUGAGAAAACUAUUUGGUUAUAUUUUUCGGCUAAAGAACGAAACGAGAAUUCUUUACAUAAUCUUAGAAAUGGAUAAAGGCAUAUAUAGGGGACCAAAUUACUAUACAAAUGGCAUGUUAUUCGAGUAAAUUCGGAGGUUUUGCCAGUGUUUAUCAUUGUUCUGUCCAUUUGAGAGAUUCGUUCGGCUGAGAAAAAGUUGAAGCAAGAUGAUGCUUUAUGGCCUUUAGAUGCAACAAUUGUCCUUUUUUUGGAUAAGAAUGCUGGUAAGCUUUCAUUAAACUGGGCUGAAACCCAAAUCAGAUUCAUCAUUUAGAACUUGAGACACAAUUAUAGGGGGAAUAUCUUCCACUCAGAUAGUACAUUCAAAAAUCAGUUUGGCGUGUUUAGCCAUGAGGUGAGCUGCCUUCCCUUCUCUGCGUGUGAAGGCUGCCUUCCAAGCUCUAAACUUUGGCACCCAAGAUUUUAUACCAGUGACAAGUUACUAGAUCUAAAUAGGGCCCGGUUCAUGGUUGACAAUGGCCUUCAUAACAAUUUGGGAAUCUCCUUCAAGAAUAAUCUCCCUAAGGCCCAACUCCCAGGAGAAAAUUAUGCCAAUCUCAGUAGCCUUGGCUUCAGCGUCCAAAGCACCCAACGGGUAUGGGAGUGUUUUGCUAAGAGCUCCCAUGAUUUGGCCUUUAUCAUUCCGAACCACCACUCCAAUCCCAUACUGACCUUGCUCCUUGAAAGCAGCCACAUCAACGUUAGUCUUGUACCACCUUAGUGGAGGUGGCCUCCAUAGAGUGGGAACGUGGGACUGAUGGGCAUUAGAAGAAGAACAGUGGGUUUGGAACUCCGCUAAGUAGAGUCUUGAAGCCUCAAAAAUUUGCAAGGCUAUUCUACUGGUUUCCCCAUGUCGCACUGCAUUUCGAUUGUUCCAAAGGAACCAUGCCGUUGUUGCUAAAGCUUCAAGGUCUUGGGCUGGUUUUGCCUCCAUUACGCACCAAAAUAGGUCCAUGAAGUUUGGUGGGUUGGCCAUGAGGCCAGGGGCUUUGACAUUAGCCAUUUGCCAAACUGCUACGGCAAAAUCACAGCUCCAAAAUGUAUGACCGACUAUUUCCACGCCUUCACACAAGUCACACUCCACUUCCAUUGGAAUCUUACAGUCUUUGAGCUUAGUUUUAGUUGGGAGGAUGCCCUAACAUGCUCGCCAAAUAAAGUUUCUAAUUUUGUUUGGCCAGUGGAGCUUCCAAAUUGCUUUCCAUAGAGACUUCAUCCUGGUGUUAUUUGAGCAUUCCCCAACAUUGAUCUUGGAUAGUUGUUUGUUGCUUACAUGGUAGGCACUUCGAACCGAGAACACCCCAUUGGCUGUACCAGACCAUACCUUACGGUCCUCAGGGAGAGUGGAGCUCAGAGGGAUAGCCAAAAUAGUUGAAGCUUCAUGGGGAAGAAAAAUGGAAUUAAUCAACUCAAAUUUCCACAUAGCUCUUUCUUUGUCAAUUAGGGUAGAAACUUUCUCAUUAUACAUCAGGGGGUUUAUAGGAGUCAAGACCUUGUAUGUUUCGGGGUUGGGGAUCCACUUGUCGCACCAUAUCUUCACUUUGUCUCCAUUUCCAAUAGACCACCUAAUUCCAUCUUCCACCAUGCUCUUAGCAGCCAAAAUGCUCUGCCAAGCAAAAGAUGGUCUUUUGCCGAGUUGAGCUUCAAGGAAAGACCUGCCAACAAAGUACUUGGCCUGAAAACAUGGUGGAAAAGAGAAUUUGUGUUUUGGAGAAGACGCCAACCUUGCUUAGCUAGGAGAGCUAGGUUGAAGGCUUUUAGGUCUCUAAAUCCCAUGCCGCCCAUAUCUUUGGAUUUACACAACUUGUCCCAAGAGACCCAAGAUAUUUUUCACUCAUUAGAUUUUUGACCCCACCAAAAUUUGCUGAGUUCUUGAUGCAACAAUUGUCCUAGAAACAGGAGAUGUGUCAUAUUUGAUGCUCUUGGUUAAAAAAAUGAAUGUUUUCUAGAUGAAAAAGUAGUGUUAACUAAGUUUUCAGUCCAUAGGUGAUCGUAUAACUGAUAGAGUUUAAUAUGUCAACUAACUUAUCUAUUAAGGUCUUUCAACUUUCAAGUAACAUCUAGGAUUGAAUAAGGCCAUAUGUGAAUUAAGUAUGUGAUUGACAAGGGACAACUGAUUUGUAAUUUGUAUUAAUCAAUCAUAAGUAACAAAAUAUGUUGAUUGUUUUUCCACCUUGACGCAUCAUUGAUAACUAUUAUUGAAAGUUGCUGUCGUUAAAAGUUAAAACUAUUCUACUUAAAAAAAAUAAAAAAAUAAAUAAAUAACCUGUGCAUUGCACUACAAAAUCAAUUUUACUUUUUAAUUGGAACACCAUUGGACCCUUCUUGCUCUUGAAGGGCUUUGGUCUCCUAGAGCAUUAGGGAUAGUGGUGCUAAAAAGUUAAAUUGCUAUUUUUAGCACCACUAACUACAAAAUGGGAGGACAUUAGUUGAGCUAAAUGUAUAUAUUUUAACUUCUCAAUAGCUCAAAGGUUAAAAUAUAUAUAUAUAUAUAUAUAUUUUUUUUUUUUUGCGUUCACACUAAUAAAUGUUUAAAUCAUUCUGUUUCCCUUUUUCUUUUAUUCCUGUUGCAAGUUCAGUCUCUCUCUUCCCAUUGCAAGUUUGGGCCUGUUUGGUGGGUUAGUUUGAGUAAUGUUAUUUGGGUGUUUUUGAUAUACGUGUGGGUGAAAAAGUGUAUGGAAAUGUGUGUAAUGUUAUUUAAAAUGUGUAGUUUUGUGUUUGAGAAGGGUUGCCAAACAGGCCCUAGUCUCUCUUUCUCAGAUUUCUCUCUUCCUCAACCUUGCCUGCCUAGCUGCCGAUAGACCCAACUGACCGCCUAGCUUCGACCACCUCUUCCACCACUCGCCGGCAACCCAAGCCAUCAGUACUCUUCUCCCUUUCAUUUUUUUUUUCUUCCUUCCUUCACUCCUUACUAGCCCAACUCCCUUGCCCUAUGCCGCCGACCCACGCUGACCCAUCUCGCCUUCUCCUCUCUUUGACCUAUCUCGCCCUUUCUGACCCAUCUUGGCCUCUCUUCUCUGUUUGGGUGCCACCAAUUUCUUCAAAGAUUGCUUGCCGAUUUACAUGUGUUUAUCUCUGUCUUCUUCAUCAUGUAAUGCUUAGAGUUUUUGAUUUGGGGUUUUUGAUUCUAGUUUGUUAGAAUUGGAACGAUAAAUUUUCCAUGUUAGUUGGAAAUUUUUUGUUUGCAGGGAAUUUAUAUUUGUUGAUUUUAAUGAUAAAUUUACAGGCAAUUGGAAUGAUAAAUUUUUUGUUUUUGCUUCUCGCCGAUUUUCUGUUUGUUGAUUCUAAUUUAUUACAAUAAAUGUCAUGUUAGAAAUUGUUUUGGGAAUUUUCUAUUUGUAGGGAAGUUUAUGUUUUUUGUUUCUAAUGUAUUGGUGCAAAUGUUAGUUUGAGAAUUUUCUUUGAGCAAGGAAGUUUACAUUUUUUUUUUUUUUGUUUUUAAUUUAUUGCAGAACAUGGUUAGUUUGAGAAAUGUUCUGGGAAUUUUCUAUCUGCAUUGAAGUUUAUGUUUUUGGUUUCUAAUGUAUUGGUGUAAAUGUUAGUUUAUGAAUUUUCUGUGUGCAGGGAAGUUUAUAUUUUGUUGUUUCUAAUUUAUUACAAUACAUGGUUAUUUGGGAAAUGUUGUUUCUAGUUUGGGAAAUGUUCAUAGUUUACAUAUAUGCUUCAUGUAAAUGGUUGUUGACAGGUUGA